UACGGAGGAUGCGAGCGUUAUCCGGAUUUAUUGGGUUUAAAGGGUGCGUAGGCGGAAUGGUAAGUCAGUGGUGAAAUCCUGCAGCUCAACUGUAGUUGUGCCAUUGAUACUGUCAUUCUUGAGUACAGAUGAGGUAGGCGGAAUGAGUAGUGUAGCGGUGAAAUGCAUAGAUAUUACUCAGAACACCAAUUGCGAAGGCAGCUUACUAAACUGACACUCAGAUGCGAAAGCGUGGGGAGCAAACAGG
rnacentral:rRNA from 1 species